rnacentral:lncRNA from 1 species
CAUUCCUGAGUUCUUCCUUGGUCCUCCCGGAUGUCAUCACUGAAUCUGUAAUUCAAAAGUUUGGGUAAAGAUGACAGGAACACUACAGAGAGCAGCACAGACCCUGUGAAGGCACCUGAAAGUGAACUCUAAAGAUCAAGACUAGGUUUCAGGAAGAGGAGAAUGGGUCAGAAAGUCCAGAUUCUGAAUAAUAAGAAGGAACACUCAUUAAGGGCUUGGGUUAUUUGAUAAUAACCACGUGAGGUUGCUUCAGCAGAGCUGAAAUAUUACAAAAUAUUAGAGAAACUCCUGGAGAGAUGGUUUAGCAGUCAAAGCUGCAUGAGGAAGGUAAAAGAACAUCCAGAUGUGUACUAGAUUAAAUGUGUUCCAAUACUCGAAUCACAGGAAAAAGAGUAUACUGAGAGAAGAAAGAAGUCUGACUUGUAUGUUGGUAUUCACCUUAGUUUAUGUGUUGGGAAGAGCAUACUUGAAAGACGACAGAAGUUUCAUGAUUAGCUUAAGCCAAUCUGAGACUGUACUGCUGCCAAAGGGACAUUCCUCCUCCUUCUUACAUCAGACCAGGCACCCACAUGACCAUACAAUAAACUGA